rnacentral:lncRNA from 1 species
GCUCGUUCACCACUCUGUGGGAUGUGGAUGUCAAUGACCUCCCCAAAUUUUUGAAAAUGUGAAAGAAGAGCAUCUGGUUUGUUGUCUUUCUGUGGAAUGCCUCUCACAAACAGAGUUCGAAGUGCCUUUUGAGAAGGUUUUCUCAUAUUAUGUCCAGAACUACUUUGGGGCUUGGAAGAUGGUUCUGUCAUUUGUGGGUCAAUAGUAUCUACAUUAUUUUGCUUCCCUGGACGGGAGUUUCCUUGAUUGCGUACGAAGUGCCUUUUGACAAGGUUUUCUCAUAUUAUGUCCAGAACUACUUUGGGGCUUGAAAGAUGAUUCUGUCAUUUGUGGGUCAAUAGUAUCUACAUUUAUUUGCUUCCCUGGAUGGGAGUUUCCUUGAUUGCUGCAGGAUGAUUCCAAAUCUUUUCC